rnacentral:rRNA from 1 species
CCUACGGGGAGGCAGCAGUGAGGAAUAUUGGACAAUGGGCGCAAGCCUGAUCCCACUACGCCGCGUGAGUGAAGAGGGCCUUAGGGUUGUAAAGCUCUUUCAGUGGGGAAGAUAAUGACGGUACCCACAGAAGACCCCCCGGCUUACUCCGUGCCAGCAGCCGCGGUAAU